CACGUAGGGGGCGAGCGUUGUCCGGAUUUAUUGGGCGUAAAGGGCUCGUAGGCGGCUCAGUAAGUCGGGUGUGAAACCUCCAGGCUCAACCUGGAGACGCCACUCGAUACUGCUGUGGCUAGAGUCCGGUAGGGGAGCAUGGAAUUCCUGGUGGUAGCGGUGAAAUGCGCAGAUAUCAGGAGGAACACCGUGGCGAAGGCGGUGCUCUGGGCCGGAACUGACGCUGAUGAGCGAAAGCGUGGGGAGCAAACAGG
rnacentral:rRNA from 1 species